CGUGGCUGCCUCGGUUGCGCAACCGAGACGAGGGACGCUAAAGACGCAGAGGGCUCGGAGCGUCAGUUCAGGCAGCGGAAUUGACGAAGCGCCUCCGGGUGGGCUUCCCGGGAACGCCCGAGGAAACCAUCCCUGCCCUCCUGGAGCUCACGUUCCAGACUGUUGAGACAUUGACUUGUAAACAGCAUCCUGGCUAACUUCAGCAUCUGCAUCAGAAGCCAAGGACAGACUGAAUGUAGAUUCAAGACUCUCCAAAGUGGUGUAAGGAAUUUGGCGUUCGGGGUUUCCAUGACCACAUCUUUGCUUCAUUAUGGUCGGACUAAACAGAUGUAAUCCUGAAAAGCCUAAGAGAAGAUGGCUGCUGUUUCCACAAUCCACAGCCAGUCUUCUCAGAACCAGGCCUGGAGUACUUUGAGGAAAUUGGCCCAACUCUCUGAAUGAUGGAAAGAGAGAAGAAGAGAAGAUCCAGGAGAGAAAUGGCAACAAUAACUAUAAAUUGCCCACUAUUAUCAUUGAUUCCUUAAUCAGUGAAUGGAAUUAAAGGUCAAAAGAUUAAAGUGAUAGGAAGUAUCAAAUCGAGCAUAAAUAAUAAAACAAACCAUUCAACAUCAAUUAACUUGACUACAGAAGUUUGAGAAGUAAAGAAAUUAAAGGUGAGAGAGAACCCAGAGCAGUAGGCUUUGGAAACUUUUUAGUCUAUGUGGUUACAAGAAGUUCAACACAAUGAAAAUGCACAUUGGAUCAAGUAAGAAAAAAAAAUACUGCACACUAUUGCAAUAAUGAAGGAUAUUCUAUCAAAGGAGAUGUCAGAAAUUCUAGCUUCUCUGCAAAAUGGAAGCAGAAGCCACAUAAGGUCAAUUAUUGACUCCAAUGUUUCCCAGUGGCACAAGAAUUACUAGCAAAGCACUUUACCAGCUUUCUCUCUGAAAGCAAGCCUGAUCUCACCUUUCGUGUUAGGAGCCUUCAUGUAGCUAUUGCCAAAAGAUGAGAACACCAGUGACUCCUCCAAAUAAAGGUCGUUUAUGUAUUUAUGAACUCUGGAUAACAUACUCACAGGUUGUCUCCCUUUCCCAACCCCUUAAAUACUUAGAAUAAAACAAUAUGUUAUCUGAAGAGCAUGAGUGGUGUGUCAAGAAAUCCCAGAGGUAUAAAGAGCAAUUUGUUAUCAAUUUGGUAAUUGUUAACCGGCCCUAAGUGCCAUAACAUAUUGCCUUUAUUGGUUAUCCAAAACCCUAUGACAAAGUUCUGCACUCAUGGCUUAUUCAUGUCCUGAAAAUACAUAGACUGGCCUUAAUAAAGUGAGAACACUAGAAAGUUUUAUGUUCACGUGGAAAAUUGUAUUUAAAACAAAACACCAACAUGAUGAUAUAAAGAAAAAUUGGACAUGAGGCAUUUUUCAAGGAGGAAGUUUGUCCAUUAUAAUUAUGCCUAGAUUUAAAUCAGUUAUCUUUCCUAAAUAGGACUAAGUAUAGUUUCCAAACUAAGAAGUCAAACCCAAACACUUGAUUAAUCCCUGGAUGUUCAGGGUGGGUCGAAAGUCAAGAAUAUUUAAUAUUUCCUUUAUUUUUUGUUUUUGAUUUACAAUACCUCAGCAUUGGAUGCAGUAUAUAUAGAAAAUGAAUUUAUAUUCUGUAUGAAAAAUCUCAUAAAAAGCAAAAAAAUUUCAAAAAGGUAUUAAAACAGCAGCCCCCUUUCUGACUUUUGGCCUACUGUGUACAUGUAUCAUAACAGCCUCUAUGACCCCACCAAAAAAUACAUUAAAUAAGUCCUUCAAAGCAUGGUCUCUUUCUCCAAGGAUAUAAAAAUGUCAUUUGAGCUCAAUAAGUGUAAAAUUCUUAAUUUGUUCCAAAGGAAGGUAAAGAUUGAGGCUUUGAGCUUGAAUACAGAGGUCACAUUGAUAAGAUAAAAGGUGAUACCUACAAAUAAUAUCUGUCUCCUCUAGGCAAAAUUUAUUAAGAUAUGAAAGAGAAGGCCUCACAAGAUCUACUGAGAAAGUGCAUUCAAUGCUGAGUGGGAACAAAAUAUUUAAAGAAAUUAACCCCUAUGCAAUACCAGUCUUAAUGUAUACAUUCAGAACUGUACAAUGCACCAUAACAGAUACAAAAGUAUCCCAAUAAAAAUCUGUUCAAUAUUAAUAAACAGUGCCAAUAACCCUAAAAUAACUAUAGAAAUGUGAACGCCUCCUUGCCAAAAAAAGUAUAGGCUUAAAAAGAUAUUCAUAGAGCAUGUAAUAAACAGGUCAAAAAUCUACAGAAACAUCUUUGGAACAAGCAGACAUUAUAGGCUGAAAAUGGGCACGUCUCUUUGGAUUUGAUUAAUAUAACCGAAAGCUGAUUGCUAUAUAUAGACCAGGGAUCAGAGAGCUAUUUCUCAGUAUAAAAUGACAAGUGUCACGUGCUGUAUGGUGGCAGACAUUUUCCCUACAGAGGAGCUGAUGCUACCUUUUAUGUGUCAUGGGACCCCUUUGGCCAUCCAGUGAAGCCUAUGGACUCCUCAGAAUCAUGUUUUUAAAAUGUAUAAAAUAAAAUACAUAGGACAACAAAGGAAACCAAUUAAAUUGAAAUUCAGUUAUCAAAAUAUUUUUUUUAAAACAAAUUCACAGAUUCCAAGUUAAGAACUAUAAGGAAGAGCAGCAUUGCUGGGAACUGAGUCACUGGAGCUAUGUUGUUAUUGUUUGUCCUUAGUUCUUGAAGAGGACCAUGACAUCAGGGUGAUAUCAUGACUUGCAGUGAAUUGGAUUUAAGUAAGGCAAAGCUGUGCAA